rnacentral:rRNA from 1 species
CCUACGGGAGGCAGCAGUGGGGAAUAUUGGGCAAUGGGCGCAAGCCUGACCCAGCAACGCCGCGUGAAGGAAGAAGGCUUUCGGGUUGUAAACUUCUUUUCUUGGGGACGAGGAAAGUGACGGUACCAAAGGAAUAAGCCACGGUUAACUACGUGCCAGCAGCCGCGGACAUACGUAGGUGGCAAGAGUUCUGCGGAUUUGUUGGGUGUAAAGGGCGUGUAGGCGGGAUUGCAAGUCAGAUGUGAAAACCACGGGCUCAACCUGUGGCCUGCAUUUGAAACUGUAGGUCUUGAGUGCUAGAGAGGCAAUCGGAUUUCCGUGUGUAGCGGUGAAAUGCGUAGAUAUACGGAGGAACACCAGUGGCGAAGGCGGAUUGCUGGACAGAAACUGACGCUGAGGCGCGAAAGCGUGGGGAGCAAACAGGAUUAGAUACCCUGGUAGUC